UACAGAGGGUGCGAGCGUUGUUCGGAAUUACUGGGCGUAAAGGGCUCGUAGGCGGCCAACUAAGUCAGACGUGAAAUCCCUCGGCUUAACCGGGGAACUGCGUCUGAUACUGGUUGGCUUGAGUCCGGGAGAGGGAUGUGGAAUUCCAGGUGUAGCGGUGAAAUGCGUAGAUAUCUGGAGGAACACCGGUGGCGAAGGCGGCAUCCUGGACCGGUAUUGACGCUGAGGAGCGAAAGCCAGGGGAGCAAACGGG
rnacentral:rRNA from 1 species